rnacentral:rRNA from 1 species
AUUGAACGCUGGCGGCAGGCCUAACACAUGCAAGUCGAGCGGAAACGAGGAAUAGCUUGCUAUUCGGCGUCGAGCGGCGGACGGGUGAGUAAUGCUUGGGAACGUGCCGUAAGGAGGGGACAACCAUUGGAAACGAUGGCUAAUACCGCAUAAUGUCUACGGACCAAAGGGGGCUUCGGCUCUCGCCUUAUGAUCGGCCCAAGUGGGAUUAGCUAGUUGGUAAGGUAACGGCUUACCAAGGCGGCGAUCCCUAGCUGGUUUGAGAGGAUGAUCAGCCACACUGGAACUGAGACACGGUCCAGACUCCUACGGGAGGCAGCAGUGGGGAAUAUUGCACAAUGGGCGCAAGCCUGAUGCAGCCAUGCCGCGUGUGUGAAGAAGGCCUUAGGGUUGUAAAGCACUUUCAGUUGUGAGGAAAGGUUAGUAGUUAAUACCUGCUAGCUGUGACAUUAGCAACAGAAGAAGCACCGGCUAACUCCGUG